UUAGAAAGGUAAUAGGUUCAUAAAGUUAAAAAAUGCUGCUCUAGUAGAGAAAAGUAUUGCUGUGUCAGUUUAAACUGUGCUUCUGACUAGAUAAAAGAUUUGCACAGAUAAUCUUAGGUAUAUAGUGAUAUUACCAAUAUAUGCAAACAAAGUCUCAGGAUUCUUUAAGCACAUUAUAAAAUAAUUUGU